rnacentral:rRNA from 1 species
AUUGAACGCUGGCGGCAUGCCUUACACAUGCAAGUCGAACGGCAGCGCGGGGCAACCUGGCGGCGAGUGGCGAACGGGUGAGUAAUAUAUCGGAACAUACCCUAGAGUGGGGGAUAACGUAGCGAAAGUUACGCUAAUACCGCAUACGCACUAAGGUGGAAAGUGGGGGAUCUUCGGACCUCAUGCUCAUGGAGUGGCCGAUAUCUGAUUAGCUAGUUGGUGAGGUAAAGGCUCACCAAGGCGACGAUCAGUAGCUGGUUUGAGAGAACGACCAGCCACACUGGAACUGAGACACGGUCCAGACUCCUACGGGAGGCGAGCAGUGGGGAAUUUUGGACAAUGGGGGCAACCCUGAUCCAGCAAUGCCGCGUGAGUGAAGAAGGCCUC